GUCGUCUUAGCUCAGUUGGGAGAGCGUCGUAUGUGUACACCCAUAAAAUCCAUCGAAAUUACAACUAACUUGUGCCAUCAGAGACUGAAGUUUCACUUCUGGUCGUUAAAUCUGAAGGUCGUGUGUUCAAUCCACACAGACGACA